UGUGAAAUGGGGCGUGAAUGUGAGCCGGGUUUAUUGCCGGACUCUCAGCUCCUGGACGAUGCCUCACACUGAUUGGGCUACCUAUAAAUGCUGAAUAAAGACUGGAAAAGGUGCCUGUUAUGGCAACUUUAUCUGUCUCUUAAACAC